rnacentral:rRNA from 1 species
GAGACAGCAGCCGCCGCGGUAAUACGUAGGGUGCAAGCGUUAAUCGGAAUUACUGGGCGUAAAGCGUGCGCAGGCGGUUAUAUAAGACAGAUGUGAAAUCCCCGGGCUCAACCUGGGAACUGCAUUUGUGACUGUAUAGCUAGAGUACGGCAGAGGGGGAUGGAAUUCCGCGUGUAGCAGUGAAAUGCGUAGAUAUGCGGAGGAACACCGAUGGCGAAGGCAAUCCCCUGGGCCUGUACUGACGCUCAUGCACGAAAGCGUGGGGAGCAAACAGGAUUAGAUACCCCCGUAGUCCCUGUCUCUUAUAC